UACGUAGGGUGCGAGCGUUAAUCGGAAUUACUGGGCGUAAAGCGCGCGCAGGCGGUUCCUUAAGUCUGAUGUGAAAGCCCCCGGCUCAACCGGGGAGGGUCAUUGGAAACUGGGGAACUUGAGUACUGAAGAGGAAAGCGGAAUUCCACGUGUAGCGGUGAAAUGCGUAGAGAUGUGGAGGAACACCAGUGGCGAAGGCGGCUUUCUGGUCAGUAACUGACGCUGAGGCGCGAAAGCGUGGGGAGCAAACAGG
rnacentral:rRNA from 1 species